CAACCUUCAAGCUCUGCUUGGUAUUGGGCCUGCGCUGGUCUCCCAGCGGGCCUCAAAAUCAGUGGCGGUGCCAUCUGGCUUCAAGCGUAGUAACACAUCUCGCUUCUGGAGACCCAGGUGUUUGCCUGCCAGCAACCCCAUCUUCUCA
rnacentral:misc_RNA from 2 species